rnacentral:misc_RNA from 1 species
UGCCGUUAGGCCAAAAAGGGCCUGGCAGUUUUACCGGGUAGUCGAGUGAGAAGGAGUCGAGUUGAAUAGAGUCGAGAGUUGAGUUGCCGAGUUGUUAUGAGUUGUGAUUUAUGAAUUAACUAUUUAAUCAUAGCACAUUACUGUAUUUAGUUCACGUUAAGUAACCAUCAUUUCCUGUCUAAUCCAUUGUAAAUAGAUCUAUCGAUCAAUAAACUUAUUAUAUAGGAUAAAUAAAAA